GACGAACGCUGGCGGCGUGCUUAACACAUGCAAGUCGAACGGAAAGGCCCUGCUUUUGUGGGGUGCUCGAGUGGCGAACGGGUGAGUAACACGUGAGUAACCUGCCCUUGACUUUGGGAUAACUUCAGGAAACUGGGGCUAAUACCGGAUAGGAGCUCCUGCUGCAUGGUGGGGGUUGGAAAGUUUCGGUGGUUGGGGAUGGACUCGCGGGUUAUCAGCUUGUUGGUGGGGUAGUGGCUUACAAAGGCUUUGACGGGUAGCCGGCCUGAGAGGGUGACCGGCCACAUUGGGACUGAGAUACGGCCCAGACUCCUACGGGAGGCAGAAGUGGGGAAUAUUGCACAAUGGGCGGAAGCCUGAUGCAGCAACGCCGCGUGCGGGAUGACGGCCUUCGGGUGGUAAACCGCUUUCGCCUGUGACGAAGCGUGAGUGACGGUAAUGGGUAAAGAAGCACCGGCUAACUACGUG
rnacentral:rRNA from 1 species